rnacentral:rRNA from 1 species
UUCCGGUUGAUCCUGCCGGAGGUCACUGCUAUUGGGAUUCGACUAAGCCAUGCGAGUCGAGAGGGUUCGGCCCUCGGCUGACGGCUCAGUAACACGUGGAUAAUCUGCCCUAAGGUGGAGGAUAACCUCGGGAAACUGAGAAUAAUACUCCAUAGGUCUAAGAUACUGGAAUGUACUUAGGCUUAAAACUCCGGUGCCUUAGGAUGAGUCUGCGGACUAUCAGGUUGUAGUCAGGGUAAAGACCUGACUAGCCUACGACGGAUAUGGGUUGUGGGAGCAAUAACCCAGAGAUGAUAUCUUAGACACGAUAUCAGGCCCUACGGGGCGCAGCAGGCGCGAAAACUUCACACUGUACGAAAGUGCGAUGAGGGAAUCCCAAGUGUAUGCACGUAAGUGUAUACUGUUUCUUUGUUUAAAAUGCAUAGAGAGUAAGGGCUGGGUAAGACGGGUGCCAGCCGCCGCGGUAAUACCUGCAGCUCAAGUGGUGAUCAUUAUUAUUGGGCCUAAAACGUCCGUAGCCGGUUUAGUAAAUGCCUGGGUAAAUCGUGUAGCUUAACUAUACGACUUCCGGGUAGACUGCUAAGCUUGAGAUCGGGAGAGGCUAGAGGUACUCCUAAGGUAGAGGUGAAAUUCUGUAAUCCUGGGGGGACCACCAGUGGCGAAGGCGUCUAGCUAGAACGAGUCUGACGGUGAGGGACGAAGCCCUGGGGCGCGAACCGGAUUAGAUACCCGGGUAGUCCAGGGUGUAAACGCUGCUUGCUUGAUGUUAGUCGGGCUCCGAGCCCGAUUAGUGUCGGAGAGAGGUUGUUAAGCAAGCUGCCUGGGAAGUACGGUCGCAAGACUGAAACUUAAAGGGAAUUGGCGGGGGAGCACAGCAACAGGUGGAGCGUGCGGUUUAAUUGGACUCAACGCCGG